rnacentral:rRNA from 1 species
GACGAACGCUGGCGGCGUGCCUAAUACAUGCAAGUAGAACGCACAGUUUAUACCGUAGCUUGCUACACCAUAAACUGUGAGUUGCGAACGGGUGAGUAACGCGUAGGUAACCUGCCUGGUAGCGGGGGAUAACUAUUGGAAACGAUAGCUAAUACCGCAUAAUAUUGAUUAUUGCAUGAUAAUUGAUUGAAAGAUGCUAUUGCAUCACUACCAGAUGGACCUGCGUUGUAUUAGCUAGUAGGUGAGGUAACGGCUCACCUAGGCGACGAUACAUAGCCGACCUGAGAGGGUGAUCGGCCACACUGGGACUGAGACACGGCCCAGACUCCUACGGGAGGCAGCAGUAGGGAAUCUUCGGCAAUGGACGAAAGUCUGACCGAGCAACGCCGCGUGAGUGAAGAAGGGUUUCGGAUCGUAAAGCUCUGUUGUAAGAGAAGAACGGGUGUGAGAGUGGAAAGUUCACACCGUGACGGUAGCUUACCAGAAAGAGACGGCUAACUACGUG